CACACACACUCACUGAGACAUACUCACUGACAGACACACACACACACACACACACAGACAGCCAAACACACAUAGCCAUGCACACAGACAGCCAUGCACGCAGACAGCCAUGCACACAGCCAGCCAUAUACACAGACAGCCAUACACCUAUACACACAGACACACACACACACACACACAUAGCCAUACACAUACACAGCCAUACACAUAGACAGUCAUACACACAGACAGUC